GUCUGAAUUCAGAGUGGUGCCUGGUAACCGCGUCUUCCCCGCCAUGUUGUGUGUGUUGCUGGCUGGAGAAGGGUAGUUGACAAACUCUGACCCAGCACGGUGUUUCUGUGGGUCAAAACUAGAAAACUAUAUCCGGGCGCCGAGGUGGAAGGAUCCUUUCAGGCCAGGAGUUAAAGAGCAGCCUAGGCAACAUGGCGCGACCCCGUCUCUGUAGUCCCACUUCAGCUUCCCAGAUACUUGAACCCCAAAGUUCAAGGCUGCAAUGACCUAUGAUCCCAUCACAGCACUCCAGCCUGCGAGACUGAGAGACGGGGUUUCACCAUGUUGGCCAGGCUGGUCUGGAACUCCUGACCUGAAGUGAUCUGCCCACCUCGGCUUCCCAAAGUGCUGGGAUGACAGGCGUAAGCCACUGCGCCUGGCCCCUUCAGUUCUGAAGGCCAGAAUUCUAAAGUCAGUCCCACUGAGUCAAGGUGGGAGCAGGCUCAGUGCCUUCCCAGGCUCUGCGGGAGAAUCCGUUUCCUGGCCCUGGAGGUGGCCUGUACUCCUCAGCUUGUGCUGCCCUUCUCGAAUGACUCGAGUUUCCUGCUUUCAUCACUACACCUCCCACCACUCUCCAUCACCUGCUCUGCUCUUAUAAGGAUCCAGAGUCUUGUUCUGUCAUCCAGGCUGGCAGUGGUGCAGUCUCAGCCCACUGCAACAUCCGCCUCCUGGGUUCAAGGAAUUCUCCUCCCUCAGCCUCCCAAGUAGCUGAGACUACGGACGCCUGCCACUACGCCUGGCUAAGUUUUGUAUUUUUGGUAGAGACGGGGGCGGGACUGGGGGGUGGGGGAGGGGAGGGGGUUUUCCACUAUGUUGCGCUUAGCUCAAAGCGAUCUGCCCAGCCUCUGCUCCCGAAGUGCUAGGAUUAUAGGCCUGUACCACCGCCACUGUAAAAUCUUAUUUCCAUACAGCUGAGACAUGUUUUAGGAAGUUUGCUAAAAGACCCCUGGAGACCUCCUCAUUGUGGCCUCCCUGUUGUCAUGUUUAAUUUGAUUGAUCUUUUCUGCCCUCCUGCUUUUCAUAAAUUAAAAGGCUAAAAAGAGGUACUAAACUUUAAAACUUCUCUUAUAGUCUCCCAUUAAACUAAUUCUAAGAACCACCAAAAAGGGGAAAAUUUUUUUUGAAAGCAGUAAAAUGAUAUGGUCUGUUAGAAUGUAAAAUACAGGAAAUAAGUCAUUAUAUGUUAUUGCUGCUGUGAUAUAGGGAUGUAUUAUUGAGAAUCAACUUCUGGUCAGUUUUCAGAGAAAUGGAAUAGUCGUAUCACUGAUCUACGUAAACAGGUUGAAGAAUUGUCUGAAAGAAAAUAUGGUGUGUCUAAACUGGAAAAGUCCUGUAAUAGUUUGUUCAUGAGCAUUUACACAAUGGAGUUGCUGUUUCAUCAUGGGGGUACUGUGGACAAGCCCAGGGCUGCUGCUCAAGCUGUAAAAGCCAAAGGUCCACCCGUUUUUUCCAGUCUCAAGCUGAAGAUCUUUAUGUAGAAGGCCUUCCCCACAGGAAUUAUUUAUUUAUUUAUUUAUUUUUUUUUUUUUGUGACGGAGUUUUUACUCUUGUUGCCCAGGCUGGAGUGCAGUGGCAUGAUCUAGGCUGGAGUACAAUGCUGUGAUCUCAGCUCACUGCAGCCUCUGCCUCCUGGGUUCAAGCGAUUCUCCUGCCUCAGUCUCCUGAGUACCUGGGAUUACAGGCGCCCGCCACUACACCAGGCUAAUUUUGUAUUUUUAAUAGAGAUGGGGUUUCACCAUGUUGGCCAGGCUGGUCUGGAACUGCUGAACUCAGGUGAUCCUCCUGCCUCAGCCUCCCAGAGUGCUGGGAUUACAGGCAUGGACCACUAUGCCAGGCCAGGAAUUGUUGUUGUUGUUGUUGUUGUUGUUUUUGUUUUUGAGACACAGUCUUGCUCUGUGCCCAGAGUGGAGUGCAGUGGAGCAAUCUCGGCUCACCGCAACCUCCGCCUCUUGGGUUCAAGUGAUUCACUUGCCUCAGUCUCCUGAGUAGCUGGGACUACAGGUGCAAGUCACCAUGCCCGGUUAAUUUUUUUGUAUUUUUAGUAAAGAUGGGGUUUCUUUUUUUUUUUUUUUUUUGAGACGGAGUCUCGCUCUGUCGCCCAGGCUGGAGUGCAGUGGCACGAUCUCGGCUCACUGCAAGCUCCGCUUCCCGGGUUCAUGCCAUUCUCCUGCCUCAGCCUCCCAAGUAGCUGGGACAAUAGGCGCCCGCCAUCACGCCCGGCUAAUUUUUUGUACGUUUAGUAGACAUGGGGUUUCACCGUGUUAGCCAGCAUGGUCUCGAUCUCUUGACCUCGUGAUCCACCCGCCUCGGCCUCCCAAAGUGCUGGGAUUACAGGUGUGAGCCACCGUGCCUGGCCAAGACAGGGUUUCACUAUGUUGGCCAGGCUUGUCUGGUAAUCCUGACUUCAUCAUCCACCCGCCUUGGCCUCCCAAAUUGCUGGGAUUACAGAUGUGAGCCACUUUGCCCCACCAGAAAUUUUUUUUAGGAAGGCUAUCUACUUACAGAAUUCCUGGCCUUGAGAGGAUAUUACUUGCAAUGGAAAGGAUUUGUUUUGUGAUUAAAAAGUUCAAGUGAUUCUCCUGCCUCAGCCUCCUGAGUAGCUGGGAUUACAGGCAUGUCCCACCAAGCCCAGACAUGAACUUAUGAAUUCAACACAUGAAGAUUUACAGCUUGACAAACCAGCUUCAGGAGCUCAAGCUGUUGGACUCGCCGAGGCAGUAAAAGUACCAUAUCUUGUGUUUGAAUCAAACUCCAAUUUCCUGUAUAUAGAAGGCUUGCCAGACAGGAUUCCCUUCCGAAGCCCUACCUGGUUUGGAAUUCCAUGACUUGAAAGGAUCCUUCGUGGGAGUAAUAAAAUGAAGUUUGUUGUUAAAAAGUAAAUUCUGGGCGGGACAUGGUGGCUCACAUCUGUAAUCCCAGCACUUUGGGAGGCUGAGGCGGGCAGAUCACCUGAAGUCAGGAGUUUGAGACCAGCCUGGCAAACAUGGCGAAACCCCAUAUCUAUUAAAAAUACAAAGAAUUAGCUGGGCGUGGUGGCAGGUGCCUGGAAACCCAGCUACUUGGGAGGCUGAAGCAGGAGAAUCACUUGAACCUGGGAGGCAGAGGCUGCAGUGAGCCGAGAUCACACCAUAGCACUCCAGCCUGGGUGACAGAGUGAGACUCUGCCUCAACAACAACAACAACAACAAUAAAAAACUUUGCAGUCCCCAAAAAGACCAUGAAGCCCUGAGAGUAAUGAAAAGCUUCCUGACAUUGAGGUCACUGUGGAAGAUGAGAGGAUCAGAGAUCUCUCCUCUACACGAGGUGCCAUCCUUUCCUGAAGGAGCUCCUUGUAAAGUGCAUGAGGUGUUCCUUUUGGUAAAAAGACACACUGCGCAACCACGGAGACCUGAGCCUGAACCUAUAAAGAUUUGAACAAGGAGAAUCUAAUGCCUGAUGGUCUGCCACUGUCUCCCAUCACCCCCAGAUGGGACCAUCUAGUUGCCGAAAAACAAGCUGAGGCCUCCCACUCAUCCUACAUUAUGCCUCAGCCGAGAUGUCUCACCCCACUCUCUGUGAUGCAACAAGAAGCCCCUGGGGAGCAUUUCAGUCCCAGUCUAUACUUCUGUCAUGUGCUCAUCGCAGUCUGCUGGAUCUACCAUGAAAGACUUCAGAGUCCAGGAAGAGAGACUGACUGGGCAACAUGUUAUUCAGAAUUAGAGAAGAUGAUGUGAUGAUGGAAGAAGAGGUCAGAGAGGGAGAUUUGAAGAUGUUGCAGUUCUGGCCUUCAAGAUGAAGUCAGGGGCUACCUUCAGGAAUCUCACUCUCGCCCAGGGUGGAGUGCAGUGGUGCGAUCUCAGCUGCCUGCAGCCUUCACCUCCCAGGUUCAAGCGAUUCUCCUGCCUCAGCCUCUUGAGUAGCUGGGAUUACAGAAGCAGGACCUUGCUCUGUCACCCAGGAUGGAGUUCAGUGGUCCAAUCACAGCUCAUUGUAACCUCAGACUCCCAGGCUCAAGCGAUCCUCCCACCUCAUCCUUCCCAGUAGCUGGGACUACAGUCUGCCACCAAGGCUGGAGUGCAGAGGCGCGAUCUCUGCUCACUGCAACCUCCACUUCGAAGGCUCAAACAAUUCUCCGUCCUCAGCCUCCCAAGUAACUGGGAUUACAGGGCUGCUGUAAAAUAUUACAGGCAUACUUUGGAGAUAUUACGGGAUUGGUUCCACAUCACUGCAGUAAAGAAGAAGAUGAGCCUUAAGUCUGAACGCGGAGGAAUUCAUGUGCAUCAGUCGGACCUCCUGUGCAAGAAAGGAUGUGGUUACUACGGCAACCCUGCCUGGCAGGGUUUCUGCUCCAAGUGCUGGGGGGAAGAGUACCACAAAGCUAGGCAGAAGGAGAUUCAGGAGGACUGGGAGCUGGCGGAGCGGUAGAAGGACUUAAUUAGGGGCGGUUGAACAGUGACGUGACUGGAUACAUACUUCUGUCACCAUCCAAAUACAUUUUUUAAAAUUUCUGCUUUGACCUAUCAGCAAGUCAGUUUAAAAUUAAGGAAAAGGAUGUUUUCCCCUCUUCUUCUCAGUCAACCUUUAAUGAACAGCUUUGAGUUGUUUCUUCAUUUUGUGUAUGUCUUAACUUCUGAUUAUAUUCUUUGGGUUGUGUUAGUCUUAGUUCUCAAAUGUAGACAAUAAGCUCCUUGGAGUGGAAGAAUGGAGAUAGGCAUAUUUCCUGGUGAAGAUUAAAUGAGCUAAUAAAUAUGAUGUACCUAGUGCAGGGCUUGCAAAUGGCACUGAUCAAGCAUUAUUUCCCUCAUUCUUUUAAUAUAUUCAGCGUGGCAUCUAGCUCAGUGAUAAAACACAGUAGUAGAAAUCUGUUGACUUGUAUACAUAGUCCUUGCAUUAUAGAAAUUUAACUUUUCCUUAAAAAUUAGGUUAGUCAAAGGCAGUUUUUAUUAUCUGGAAAUACAAUGAUGUUAAAAAUUAAAUAAUGGGCCAGGCACAGUGGCUCACGCCUGUAAUCCUAGCACUUUGGGAGGCUGAGGCGGGAGGAUCAUCUGAGGUCAGGAGUUUGAGACCAGCCUGAGCAAUAUGGUGAAACCCCAUCUCUACUAAAAAUAUUUAAAAAGUUAGCCAGGCGUGGUGGUGUGCACUUGUUAUCUCAGCUACUUGGGAGGCUGAGGCAGGAGAAUUGCUUGAACCCAGGUAUCGGAGGUUGCAGUGAGCUGAGAUUGUGCCACUGCCCUCCAGCCUGGGCGACAGGGUGAGACUCUGUCUCCAAAAAAAAAAAAAAAAAAAAAAAAAUU